rnacentral:rRNA from 1 species
CCUACGGGAGGCAGCAGUGAGGAAUAUUGGACAAUGGGCGCGAGCCUGAACCAGCCAAGUCGCGUGAGGGAUGAAGGUUCUAUGGAUCGUAAACCUCUUUUAUAAGGGAAUAAAGUGUGGGACGUGUCCUAUUUUGUAUGUACCUUAUGAAUAAGGAUCGGCUAACUCCGUGCCAGCAGCCGCGGUAAGACGGAGGAUCCGAGCGUUAUCCGGAUUUAUUGGGUUUAAAGGGUGCGUAGGCGGUCUUUUAAGUCAGCGGUGAAAGUCUGCGGCUCAACCAUAGAAUUGCCGUUGAAACUGGGGGGCUUGAGUAUGUGUGAGGCAGGCGGAACGCGGUGUGUAGCGGUGAAAUGCUUAGAUAUAACGCAGAACCCCGAUGGCGAAGGCAGCUUGCCAAGCCAUGACUGACGCUGAUGCACGAAAGCGUGGGGAGCAAACAGGAUUAGAUACCCUUGUAGUC